UUAUUAACAAUGAUCAGUGAGCCACCUC
rnacentral:piRNA from 1 species